GAUGAACGCUGGCGGCGUGCCUAAUACAUGCAAGUCGAGCGAACAGACGAGGAGCUUGCUCCUCUGACGUUAGCGGCGGACGGGUGAGUAACACGUGGAUAACCUACCUAUAAGACUGGGAUAACUUCGGGAAACCGGAGCUAAUACCGGAUAAUAUAUUGAACCGCAUGGUUCAAUAGUGAAAGACGGUUUUGCUGUCACUUAUAGAUGGAUCCGCGCCGCAUUAGCUAGUUGGUAAGGUAACGGCUUACCAAGGCAACGAUGCGUAGCCGACCUGAGGGGGUGAUCGGCCACACUGGAACUCAGACACGGUCCAGACUCCUACGGGAGGCAGCAGUAGGGACUCUUCCGCAAUGGGCGAACGCCUGACGGAGCAACGCCGCGUGAGUGAUGAAGGUCUUCGGAUCGUAAAACUCUGUUAUUAGGGAAGAACAAAUGUGUAAGUAACUAUGCACGUCUUGACGGUACCUAAUCAGAAAGCCACGGCUAACUACGUG
rnacentral:rRNA from 1 species